UGUAGCUCAGUGGUAGAGCACUUGCCUACCAGACACGAAGCCCUGGGUUCAAUCCUCAGCA
rnacentral:tRNA from 1 species